AGUCACAGCCCCAGGCCUGCGUCUCUGCUGGGCGCCGCAGAGGUCUGAGUGCCCAGCAGAGCCCACCACGAGGGCAGGGACACCCACCCUCCGUUGGCCUGUUGUGGAAACCAACGCUGCUUGGAGUUGGAGCUCCGCCCCACACCCACCGCGCUCCCCAGCCCCACCGAGGGAGCCCCCGAGGAGCUUCUGCUCCGUCCAUUUAACACACUGUCCCACCACUCUAACCUGUCUGUUCCAGGCACUGGGGACGUGAGAGAAAGGGGACCCACACCGGCAGUGCCUUCGCUUUUGUGGAGGUCACGGCCCCCGGGAAGGUUACACACAGGAGACAGCGCGGAAGGGAAACCAGGAAGUGACAAACCCCACCAGGGCAGUAAGACCAGAAUCACCUCCGGGCAGGUGGUGCAGCCCACUCCGGGCUUCAAAGGACACAGUGACCCAGCCAGGCCUGAACCUGGGGCUCUGGACUCCUACAGCAGUGCUCUGUCCGCUGCUCUGUGGUGGAUGGCAGGAGGCCCUCGUCCUCUGGGCCCAGCUGAGAAGACCCCAGACCGCUAGGGAAAGAGGCCACUGACGGGAGAGUGGCUCAGGCUGGGGCUUCGCAGAGCCAGCUCAGGACAAACGGCAGCACAUCCGGUCGGGCACACCAUGUGUGCCAUUCCCAUCAAAGCCACAAGCACUGUGGGACUCUCAUUUCACCAGGGAGGAAACAGGCUCUGAGGAUGAGGGGCUUCCUCAGGCAGCACAGCAGGAAGGGCCUGAGCUGGAAUCCGAACCUGGCUGUGUCCGUGUCACCUGCCUGGGGACUCAUUUGGUCAGUCAGCUACCGGGUACCCUGUGUAUUUCUUACUGAUCCCCCAGUUUGCCUGGCAGGGUUUCAGGGCUGAGGACACAGACACCCGUCAUCUCCUUUGUCAAGGGAAGUAGACUCCAGACCAACAGCAAACAAGCUUCCCACUUACUGUAAACACCAUGGAGCUCCUUCUGACACCUUCUAAAGAUUUAGACACAAAAGUCACCUUCUCAGUGAGAUGCUCGAAGGACAGUGCUUUUUAUUACCUAGAAUGCCCUGUACUCAAUUUAUGUGAUCAUCUUGUGUCUCUUCUACUAGAUCAGACAGAGACCGGUAAACUACAGUCCAUCACUUCUGACCACCCACCACCUGUCUGAGUAUGGCAAGUGAGUUAAGAAUGAUUUUUACAUUUUUUAAAUGGCUAAAAACAAUCAAAAGGAUAAUAAUAUAUUGUGA
ensembl:lincRNA